CGGAUCCAUAUUGAAACCUAGUGAUGUAUGGAUUAGUGGCGGACGGGUGAGUAACGCGUGGAUAACCUGCCGUAUACAGGGGGAUAACACUUAGAAAUAGGUGCUAAUACCGCAUAAGCGCACGGUUCCGCAUGGAACAGUGUGAAAAACUUCGGUGGUAUACGAUGGAUCCGCGUCUGAUUAGCCAGUUGGCGGGGUAACGGCCCACCAAAGCGACGAUCAGUAGCCGGCCUGAGAGGGUGAACGGCCACAUUGGGACUGAGACACGGCCCAAACUCCUACGGGAGGCAGCAGUGGGGAAUAUUGCACAAUGGGGGAAACCCUGAUGCAGCGACGCCGCGUGAGUGAAGAAGUAUUUCGGUACGUAAAGCUCUAUCAGCAGGGAAGAAAAGAAGUCCUUUGGAUUUUGGACGGUACCUGACAAGAAGCCCCGGCUAACUACGUGCCAGCAGCCGCGGUAAUACGUAGGGGGCAAGCGUUAUCCGGAUUUACUGGGUGUAAAGGGAGCGUAGACGGCAGCGCAAGUCUGGAGUGAAAUGCCGGGGCCCAACCCCGGAACUGCUUUGGAAACUGUGCAGCUCGAGUGCAGGAGAGGUAAGCGGAAUUCCUAGUGUAGCGGUGAAAUGCGUAGAUAUUAGGAGGAACACCAGUGGCGAAGGCGGCUUACUGGACUGUAACUGACGUUGAGGCUCGAAAGCGUGGGGAGCAAACAGGAUUAGAUACCCUGGUAGUCCACGCCGUAAACGAUGAUUACUAGGUGUCGGGGAGCCAAGGCUCUCCGGUGCCGC
rnacentral:rRNA from 1 species